rnacentral:lncRNA from 1 species
CCGCAGGCGGGGCGCACGUGAGGAUCCCACCCGGCCAGGGCGCACGGCCGGCGCCAGAGACUGUCGUCGGCGGCCACGCGCGCCCACUGGGCGCACACGCAAGAUACCGUGCCGAGGUCGGCCGGGCGCAGGCAGCCGAGGACCAAGAGGAGGAUCUCGUCGGGCAGGUGCACGAUGCCACAGUCGCCGUCAUUGUGCCCAUGUCGCUGUCUGGGUGGUCCCAGUGCAGGCGCGCCUUUCUCUGGCUCCAUGUCCCGACACGGCGCACAGGCGAAAAAUUCCGAAAAAAAACAAAUAGAGGUGACUGAAAAGGACACGAUCAAAACAACAAC